CAGCCGCCGCGGUAACACGUAGGGUGCGAGCGUUAAUCGGAAUUACUGGGCGUAAAGCGUGCGCAGGCGGUUCGUUAAGACAGAUGUGAAAUCCCCGGGCUUAACCUGGGAACUGCAUUUGUGACUGGCGAGCUAGAGUAUGGCAGAGGGGGGUAGAAUUCCACGUGUAGCAGUGAAAUGCGUAGAGAUGUGGAGGAAUACCGAUGGCGAAGACAGCCCCCUGGGCCAAUACUGACGCUCAUGCACGAAAGCGUGGGGAGCAAACAGGAUUAGAUACCCCCGUAGUCCCUGUCUCUUAUAC
rnacentral:rRNA from 1 species